AGAUUGAACGCUGGCGGCAUGCCUUACACAUGCAAGUCGAACGGCAGCACGGGAGCAAUCCUGGUGGCGAGUGGCGAACGGGUGAGUAAUACAUCGGAACGUGCCCAAUCGUGGGGGAUAACGCAGCGAAAGCUGUGCUAAUACCGCAUAAGAUCUACGGAUGAAAGCAGGGGAUCGCAAGACCUUGCGCGAAUGGAGCGGCCGAUGGCAGAUUAGGUAGUUAGUGAGGUAAAGGCUCACCAAGCCUUCGAUCUGUAGCUGGUCUGAGAGGACGACCAGCCACACUGGGACUGAGACCACGGCCCAGACUCCGUACGGGAGCAGCGAGGUGGGGUAAUUUGGACAAGUCGGGACGAAACGCCGUAGACU
rnacentral:rRNA from 1 species